UACGUAGGGUGCGAGCGUUGUCCGGAAUUAUUGGGCGUAAAGAGCUUGUAGGUGGUUUGUCGCGUCUGCUGUGAAAAUCCGAGGCUCAACCUCGGACUUGCAGUGGGUACGGGCAGACUAGAGUGGUGGUAGGGGAGACUGGAAUUCCUGGUGUAGCGGUGGAAUGCGCAGAUAUCAGGAGGAACACCGGUGGCGAAGGCGGAUCUCUGGGCCAUUACUGACGCUGGAGGAGCGAAAGCGUGGGGAGCGAACAGG
rnacentral:rRNA from 1 species